rnacentral:rRNA from 1 species
CUGGCGGCAUGCCUAACACAUGCAAGUCGAACGAGGGCUUCGGCCCUAGUGGCGCACGGGUGCGUAACGCGUGGGAAUCUGCCCUCAGGUUCGGAAUAACAGCGAGAAAUUGCUGCUAAUACCGGAUGAUAUCGCGAGAUCAAAGAUUUAUCGCCUGAGGAUGAGCCCGCGUAGGAUUAGCUAGUUGGUGUGGUAAAGGCGCACCAAGGCGACGAUCCUUAGCUGGUCUGAGAGGAUGAUCAGCCACACUGGGACUGAGACACGGCCCAGACUCCUACGGGAGGCAGCAGUGGGGAAUAUUGGACAAUGGGCGAAAGCCUGAUCCAGCAAUGCCGCGUGAGUGAUGAAGGCCUUAGGGUUGUAAAGCUCUUUUACCCGGGAUGAUAAUGACAGUACCGGGAGAAUAAGCUCCGGCUAACUCCGUGCCAGCAGCCGCGGUAAUACGGAGGGAGCUAGCGUUAUUCGGAAUUACUGGGCGUAAAGCGCACGUAGGCGGCUUUGUAAGUUAGAGGUGAAAGCCUGGAGCUCAACUCCAGAAUUGCCUUUAAGACUGCAUCGCUUGAAUCCAGGAGAGGUGAGUGGAAUUCCGAGUGUAGAGGUGAAAUUCGUAGAUACUCGGAAGAACACCAGUGGCGAAGGCGGCUCACUGGACUGGUAUUGAC